CUGUGCCGAUGGUGUCACAACUAAGGACAGAGCCCAGGCUUCUUCGCAAAAUACAACACCUACAGCUUCAUGGAGGACACAACAAAGGAAAUAAUCCUUUUUCAGUUAGUGCAGGUGACAGAGGCAUCCAGCUCUGCUGCCAUGGAGCCAGUGGGGUUCAGGAGAGGACUUGAUUAUCUCCUUGAGCAAGGUCUUGAAGUGGAGGUGGUAACCACUGACCGAUCACCAUCUAUACGAAAAAUUAUGCGCGAAGAGUAUCCGGAAAUCCACCAUGAGUUUGACAUCUGGCAUGUUGUCAAGGGUAAGCUGACAAAUUGUAAUUUGUAAAUGUACAAUGGUAAAGGAAUUACUAUAAUGAGGAAAAUGUUUUUACAAUAUACUUUGGAUAG